AUUGAACGCUGGCGGCAGGCCUAACACAUGCAAGUCGAGCGGAUGAAGGGAGCUUGCUCCUGGAUUCAGCGGCGGACGGGUGAGUAAUGCCUAGGAAUCUGUCUGGUAGUGGGGGAUAACGUCCGGAAACGGGCGCUAAUACCGCAUACGUCCUGAGGGAGAAAGUGGGGGAUCUUCGGACCUCACGCUAUCAGAUGAGCCUAGGUCGGAUUAGCUAGUUGGUGGGGUAAAGGCCUACCAAGGCGACGAUCCGUAACUGGUCUGAGAGGAUGAUCAGUCACACUGGAACUGAGACACGGUCCAGACUCCUACGGGAGGCGGCAGUGGGGAAUAUUGGACAAUGGGCGAAAGCCUGAUCCAGCCAUGCCGCGUGUGUGAAGAAGGUCUUCGGAUUGUAAAGCACUUUAAGUUGGGAGGAAGGGCAGUAAGUUAAUACCUUGCUGUUUUGACGUUACCAACAGAAUAAGCACCGGCUAACUUCGUG
rnacentral:rRNA from 1 species